UUCCUUCCGAAGUUUCCCUCAGGAUAGCUGGAGCCCAUUACGAGUUCUAUCACGUAAAGCCAAUGAUUAGAGGCAUCGGGGGCGCAACGCCCUCGACCUAUUCUAGAACUUUAAGUAGAUUGGACGGUGCGGCUGCUCUGGUGAGCCGCGCCAUGGAAUCGGGAGCUCCAAGUGGGCCAUUUUGGGUAAGCAGAACUAGCGAUGAGGUAUGAACCGGAAGCCGGGUUACGGUGCCCAAUUGCACGCUAACCUAGAACCCACAAAGGGUGUUGGUUGACUAAGACAGCAGGACGUGGUCAUGGAAGUCGAAAUCCGCUAAGGAGUGUGUAACAACUCACCUGCCGAAUCACCUAGCCCUGAAAAUGGAUGGCGCUAAAGCGUGCGACCCACACCCGGCCAUCUGGGCAAGCGCCAUGCCCCGAUGUGUAGGAGGGCACGGCGGCCGCUGCAAAACCCGGGGCGUGAGCCCCGGUUGAGUUGCCGUCGAUG
rnacentral:rRNA from 1 species